UACGGAGGGUGCAAGCGUUAUCCGGAUUCACUGGGUUUAAAGGGUGCGUAGGCGGGCAGGUAAGUCAGUGGUGAAAUCCCCGAGCUCAACUCGGGAACUGCGUCCGAUACUGGCGGGCUUGAAUCCGGGAGAGGGAUGCGGAAUUCCAGGUGUAGCGGUGAAAUGCGUAGAUAUCUGGAGGAACACCGGUGGCGAAGGCGGCAUCCUGGACCGGCAUUGACGCUGAGGCGCGAAAGCUAGGGGAGCAAACGGG
rnacentral:rRNA from 1 species